rnacentral:rRNA from 1 species
CCUACGGGUGGCAGCAGUGAGGAAUAUUGGUCAAUGGGCGCGAGCCUGAACCAGCCAAGUCGCGUGAGGGAAGACGGUCCUAUGGAUUGUAAACCUCUUUUGUCGGGGAGCAAAAGACGCCACGCGUGGCGUUCCGAGAGUACCCGAAGAAAAAGCAUCGGCUAACUCCGUGCCAGCAGCCGCGGUAAUACGGAGGAUGCGAGCGUUAUCCGGAUUUAUUGGGUUUAAAGGGUGCGCAGGCGGAAGAUCAAGUCAGCGGUAAAAUUGAGAGGCUCAACCUCUUCGAGCCGUUGAAACUGGUGUUCUUGAGUGAGUGAGAAGUAGGCGGAAUGCGUGGUGUAGCGGUGAAAUGCAUAGAUAUCACGCAGAACUCCGAUUGCGAAGGCAGCAUGCCGGCGCUCAACUGACGCUCAUGCACGAAAGUGUGGGUAUCGAACAGGAUUAGAUACCCCAGUAGUC